AUGUUACCUUUCAAUGUCAGACUGAGACUCCACAGAUAAAAGAGCAGUUGAAGAGGUGCAAAGAUGUCUUUCUGCAGGGCAGCAACAGUGAAUUUUGCUCCUUUGUGAAUUCAACCUUGGUGAAUUUGGAGACCAUGUGUGCAGGGGACAGAGCAGUAUCGCUGCAGGAUGUUGCUCGUCCCUUUGGUUCCUUCCUGAAUAGCUCCAUCCUCAGUGCUGGUGGGAAGGAGAACGAGGGGGAGGUGGCCUCUGCCGUGACGUUCCUCCUGCAGAGUGUGGAAUUGGCUGCACUGACAGCUGCUUUGAGGUCU